AGCUUUGCACAGUGGCAGUAUCGUAACCAGUGAGGUUUACGAGGUGCGAUUAUUGCUAAUUGAAAA
rnacentral:snRNA from 1 species